AUUGAACGCUGGCGGCAGGCCUAACACAUGCAAGUCGAGCGGAUGAAGGGAGCUUGCUCCUGGAUUCAGCGGCGGACGGGUGAGUAAUGCCUAGGAAUCUGCCUGGUAGUGGGGGAUAACGUCCGGAAACGGGCGCUAAUACCGCAUACGUCCUGAGGGAGGAAGGGGGGGAUAUUCGGACCUCACGCUAUCAGAUGAGCUUAGGUCGGAUUAGCUAGUUGGUGGGGUAAAGGCCUACCAAGGCGACGAUCCGUAACUGGUCUGAGAGGAUGAUCAGUCACACUGGAACUGAGACACGGUCCAGACUCCUACGGGAGGCAGCAGUGGGGAAUAUUGGACAAUGGGCGAAAGCCUGAUCCAGCCAUGCCGCGUGUGUGAAGAAGGUCUUCGGAUUGUAAAGCACUUUAAGUUGGGAGGAAGGGCAGUAAGUUAAUACCUUGCUGUUUUGACGUUACCAACAGAAUAAGCACCGGCUAACUUCGUG
rnacentral:rRNA from 1 species